rnacentral:rRNA from 1 species
UACGUAGGGGGCAAGCGUUGUCCGGAUUUAUUGGGCGUAAAGAGCGUGUAGGCGGCCAGAUAGGUCCGUUGUGAAAACUGGAGGCUUAACCUCCAGCUGUCGAUGGAAACCAUCUGGCUAGAGUCCGGAAGAGGCGAGUGGAAUUCCUGGUGUAGCGGUGAAAUGCGCAGAUAUCAGGAAGAACACCCGUGGCUAAGGCGGCUCUCUAGUACGGUACUGACGCUGAGACGCGAAAGCGUGGGGAGCGAACAGG